rnacentral:rRNA from 1 species
CCCUGGCUCAGGAUAAACGCUGGCGGCGCACAUAAGACAUGCAAGUCGAACGGAAGUCGUUAUAAAUGAAUUGAAGAUUUAUCUGAUUGAAGUUUGUAACAAUGGCUUUAGUGGCGGACUGGUGAGUAACGCGUAAGGAAUCUACCUAUUAGAGGGGAAUAACAAUGAGAAAUCAUUGCUAAUACCGCAUAUGCCAUAGUGAAGGCAUCUUCAUAGUGGGAAAGGAGUAAUCCGCUAAUAGAUGAUCUUGCGUCUGAUUAGUUAGUUGGUGGGGUAACGGCCUACCAAGACGACGAUCAGUAGCCGGACUGAGAGGUUGAACGGCCACAUUGGGACUGAGAUACGGCCCAGACUCCUACGGGAGGCAGCAGUCGGGAAUAUUGCGCAAUGGAGGAAACUCUGACGCAGUGACGCCGCGUAUAGGAAGAAGGUUUUCGGAUUGUAAACUAUUGUCGUUAGGGAAGAAAAAGGACAGUACCUAAGGAGGAAGCUCCGGCUAACUACGUGCCAGCAGCCGCGGUAA